CUAUAGACAGCGGGGUCUGUAGGGAGCAAAGAAUUUCCAUUGUGUUAAAAAGUAAUGCACUACUCUCAAUCUCCUUCGGGGAGCAAAAUGUACCUCCCCUCCCUUUCCCUAAACUUCAAAGAUUUAUUUAUUAUUAUUUUUUUAAAGAUCAGUUAAACCAGAGUGCUGGGUUGGAACCUGUUGGAAAGGUUAAAUGCUGGGGCUCACUGAUAAGGAGUGCAGCGAAAUCUGUCAGUCCAAGGUACUGUAGGGGCUGAGUAUUCCUCCUGCAGGGCGUGCAGGGGGUAAGAAUAGAAAAGGAGAGCCGGGGGCUAAGGGGGCAAAGGGAGGCCUGGCGCUCUUAACAUGCAUGAUUUAAGAUUCCCUUUCCAAACUAGAAAUCAGUACCUGCGAUGAAACCCGGGGAUUCUAAUAAACUGAUGGGGGCGGGGGGGAGGGGGAAUCUGGAGAGUCAACUUUCCGGACACAGAAGCUGGUGCACCGCACAUCUGAAAGGUCUAAAGGUAGUAGUGAUUCCUGUGCUUCUUUUAUCUUUGAUCGCCAGGUGAAAGAUGAAGCAUAUCCGAUUUACAGCCCAAGCCACCACAAUAUGUGGUCUCACGGGGACACUGGUCUGACGGGAACGGGACAUUCAGGCGCUAGGACCCAGCCUCCUUCAAGACCUCUCCAGGACCUCUCCCUCCAGGACCUCUCUCCUCUCAGACCUCCUUCAGAGCAUCAACCCCAUUCAGACCUCCUUCAGAGCAUCCUCCCUUCAGACCUCCUUCAGAGCCAGCCUCUUCAGUCCUCCUUCAGAGCAACCUCCUCAGUCCUCCUUCAGAGCAACCUCCUUCAAGACCUCUCCAGGAGCUCUCCCUCCAGGACCUCUCUCCUCUCAGACCUCCUUCAGAGCAUCAACCCCUUCAGACCUCCUUCAGAGCAAAACCUCCUGAGUUCUCCUCCAGAGCAACCUCCUCCUCAGUCCUCAGACCCCGCUAUCUUUAAGCCAACAAUCUAAGUUCCCUCCCCUCAGUUCUCACAUCUACCAAUCACUGUCGAUGUCUCCCCUGUGCCAAUGGUGGCUCUAGCUUAACCCAGGACUGCCCAGAGGUCUGCCCCCUUUGCACAUGUUUGUUGAAGGUCAUAUUCACAAAUAAUUAAAUCUUGAUCUUUGCUGCAGCCCUUCCUAAAUCCUGUUACUCUGAGUAGGGUGGAGAUUGUAGUUUCCAAGACCUGGUUCUGUCAUUCCAAGUAUCUCUAUUGUAUCAAUUCUAAAAUCAAUCAUGACUCAAAGAAUUUCCUGUUCUAUGUUUAAGCAUAGGUCAAAGCCCUUUCCAUUGUUUAGCAAAAGGUUUCUGUCCUAAAGUAGUCUUAAGUAGGGAGGAGAAGGAUCCUCCCAUGCCAAGGAGUUUCAUAUUCCAAUAGAGUUCUUACUAUCAGUAGGAAAUUUUUUCAAGUAUGAAAUUUCUCAAUGGGGAAAUUUCCAACAUUCAUAAGUCUAAGAAAUUUUAAGGUUUGCAUAUAGUAUGUCCAUACACAAUAUUUAUAGUUAUAUAUCAUGUAUCUAUAUACAGUAUUUACUCUGUAUCAUACAUCUAUACAUAGUAUUUAUAGCACUAUCUCAUGUAUCAAUACACUUCUGACCACUCUUCAGGUUCUGUUCAUUCUGUUUCCAUGAUGUCUUUCAAAGCUGUGCCCUUCUUUCCAGGCUCACGGCUGUGACCUAUUAGCUCCUCCUUAUCAUUUACUUCGACUAUUACAUAUAUUCUGCUCAAUUAGUCUUUUUUCUCUGCCUCCAUUAUCUCCCUUUUCCAAGUGUUCUUAGAGAAUAAUUGUCCUAAAGCAUCUUUCAUUCAGAAAUCUCCCAUGACUCUUCACUGCAACAAGGACCUUCAGCUGCCACUCAAGGUCCUUCAUAAUCUAGUCUCUCUCCCCAUUUCACCCCUCCCCCCCAGCUUUAUCUUACACUUCUGCAAGGAUAGUAUAGGAAUAGGGCCAGGGAGGGGACUUGAGAUUUCAAGCUAUAUAGAUACUGGGGAUAAACAAAGGAAAACAAAGCCAGUAAAUUGCUCUUGUGGAAUUUCCAAUCCAGGAAGGAAAGUAAGAUAUAAAUACAGGUCAGCUAGGUGGUUCAGGUAGAUAGAAACACCUAGACCUAGAGAUGGGGCAUCAAGAUAUUGUGUGACUCUGGGCAAGUCACUUCAUUCCAGUGGUCUAGUCCUUACCACUCUUCUACUUUGUAACUGAUAUUGAUUUUAAGAUAAAAAGUAAGGGUUUGUUGGGUUUUUUUAAGUGAUAGUCUCUACCUGAAAGGAGCUUAUCCUCUCCUAGUUUGUACUACUUUACGUUACAUCAAUUACAUUUUUUCUUAUUAGGCUAAUCCCAUUAUUAGCUUGUUGAGAUCUUUAAAAAACAUGUCUGUCCUUUAAGAUAACAUGUUAGUUCUCUCUUCCACCGUUUUUGUCAUUUGCAAAUUUGAUAAGCUUGUCUUUGUUUUUUUUUUUAGUGAAAAUAACAAUAAAGAACAUGCCUAUAUCA
ensembl:lncRNA